GGGCAAUCUGCCCUUCACUCUGGGACAAGGCCUGGAAACGGGGCCUAAUACCGGAUAUGACGCGGGAUCGCAUGAUCUCCGCGUGGAAAGCUCCGGCGGUGAAGGAUGAGCCCGCGGCCUAUCAGCUUGUUGGUGGGGUGAUGGCCUACCAAGGCGACGACGGGUAGCCGGUCUGAGAGGGCGACCGGACACACUGGGACUGAGACACGGCCCAGACUCCUACGGGAGGCAGCAGUGGGGAAUAUUGCACGAUGGGCGAAAGCCUGAUGCAGCGACGCCGCGUGAGGGAUGACGGCCUUCGGGUUGUAAACCUCUUUCAGCAGGGAAGAAGCGAGAGUGACGGCACCUGCAGAAGAAGCGCCGGCUAACUACGUGCCAGCAGCCGCGGUAAUACGUAGGGCGCAAGCGUUGUCCGGAAUUAUUGGGCGUAGAGAGCUCGUAGGCGGCUUGUCGCGUCGGAUGUGAAAGCCCGGGGCUUAACCCCGGGUCUGCAUUCGAUACGGGCAGGCUAGAGUUCGGUAGGGGAGAUCGGAAUUCCUGGUGUAGCGGUGAAAUGCGCAGAUAUCAGGAGGAACACCGGUGGCGAAGGCGGAUCUCUGGGCCGAUACUGACGCUGAGGAGCGAAAGCGUGGGGAGCGAACAGGAUUAGAUACCCUGGUAGUCCACGCCGUAAACGUUGGGAACUAGGUGUGGGCGACAUUCCACGUCGUCCGUGCCGCAGCUAACGCAUUAAGUUCCCCGCCUGGGGAGUACGGCCGCAAGGCUA
rnacentral:rRNA from 1 species